rnacentral:lncRNA from 13 species
AUGGGGACACGGGUGCAGGAGGAGAAACGGGGGGCCAUGGGGUACAGUCAGGCAAAGGGUAAGAUGGAGAUGCAGAUACACACCCAAGGAACGGAAAUAGAAAGGCAGGGAGAGGGAGGAAGAGUGAGAGGAAGAGGAGAGAGAUGGGGAGAGAGAGGAAGGCAGACAGGAGGAAAGGUGAAGACACAGAAAAGAGGCAAGGAAAUGGACAAAAUCGAGGGGAAAUGGACUGAAGGGAAAGGGAAGACCCGGGCAGAAAUGGAGAAAUGGGGGCGCAGACAGACGGAAAGAGUGAGGUUGGAGUGCCCUUCCCGCGCUCAUCUUCCGUCCCCACUCCACGCCCAGCAAAUCCAGACAUCGCGGCCUCUGGUGUCCCGGCCUCCACUUUCCCCUGAGGGGCAUGGGCGGCUCCUCCUGCGCGCAGCUGGGGCGCCGAGCGGCGGUAGGAGCGGCGGUGGCUUGGUGGUCCCGGGGGGAUCCGAGUGUGUGUCUGGGGCUGGGGCGGGGGGUGGGCGCGGCCCCUGGGUAUCCCUAGCGGUCCAGGUUCAUAGUCCAGUGCUUGGCUCCGGCCGCGCAGCUGUCCCUGGCGGCCGAGGAGGCGGCGGGCGCGCCCCCGCUCGGUGGACCCCCGCCGCUGGCGGUGGCCUCGCCCUCGUUCUUGAGGUCUUGAAAGACCUGCGUGAAGAAGUGGGGGUCGGCGUUGAGCCGCAGCAUCUGCGGGCUGAGCCGCUGGAUGAGGCGCAGGCAGCGCUGCCAGAAGCGCUCCUUGUCGGGCUCCACGAGGAAGGGCUUGAGUGGGUAGGAGAUCUCGUUGCCCAUGUAGGAGUAGGCGAGGUAGAGGCAGGUGAGGAAGGCGGCCUGCAGCUCCGCGGCCGACGCCAGCUCGUCCCCACGCAGCGACUCGCGGCACAGCAGGUACACGAACACCAGGUUGGCGGGCGUAAUGAAGGCCUGGUCUUGCCAGCCCUGCAGCAGCAGCGAGCGGUCCACACCGCGGAACCAGCCCACCAGCUCGCCGGGGCUCAGCUCCUUGAGGCGGUAGCAGCGGCGGCACACGAAGUCGCCCAGACAGCGCAGCAGCUCGCCGGUGGACGCCUGUACGAUGACCCGCCGCGGCGAGCCGCCAGGCACCGGUGGCGCUGCCUGCGGGGCUGGGGGAGGCGGCGGCGGAGGCUUUCCGCCGCCCGAGCCCGGCGGCUGGGCCGCCGCGCUGCCCCCCGACGGUGGCUCGCAGGUGGCAGCGGCCGCGGGCACGGUGGGCACUGGCACCGCCAGGGGCUUGGCGGUGCCUCCGCCGUCGGGGGGAUCCCGGCCCUUGCGGAGAAGGUUCUCGCGGUUGCGUUGCUGGACAAGGGGGUCGGGGCCCGUGGAUGCCGGCUUGGGUGUCACCUUCUUGCCGCCUUUCUUCUUCUUGGCGGACGCGGCCACCAGGCGCUUCCAGGUGAGCGCCGAGAUGAGCACGGACGGCCGCUUGAGUCGGCUCUCGCCUUUGCUGCCCUUGCCCACUGGCGGCGCCCCGUAGCCCCCCAGCGCCUCGUCCCCCGCGGGCGGCACCUUCUUCUUCUCCUCGGGCAGCCCGCCGGGCCUCCGGCCUUUGGCCGAGGAGGCAGGGGAUAG